rnacentral:rRNA from 1 species
GACAGAGGGGGCAAGCGUUGCUCGGAAUUACUGGGCGUAAAGGGCGCGUAGGCGGGAUGGCAAGUCGGUCGUGAAAUCCCUCGGCUCAACCGAGGAACGUCGAUCGAUACUGCUGUUCUUGAGGAUGCAGAGGAGACUGGAAUUCCCGGUGUAGCGGUGAAAUGUGUAGAGAUCGGGAGGAACACCGGUGGCGAAGGCGGGUCUCUGGGCAAUUCCUGACGCUGAGGCGCGAAAGCGUGGGGAGCAAACGGG